CCUACGGGGGGCAGCAGUGGGGAAUAUUGCACAAUGGAGGAAACCCUGAUGCAGCGACGCCGCGUGCGUGAAGAAGUAUUUAGGUAUGUAAAGCUCUAUCAGCAGGGAAGAAAAUGACGGUACCUGUUUAAGAAGCCCCGGCUAACUACGUGCCAGCAGCCGCGGUAAUACGUAGGGGGCAAGCGUUAUCCGGAUUUACUGGGUGUAAAGGGAGCGUAGACGGCAGAACAAGUCUGGAGUGAAAUGCCGGGGCUUAACCCCGGAACUGCUUUGGAAACUGUGCAGCUAGAGUGCAGGAGAGGUAAGUGGAAUGUCUGGUGUAGCGGUGAAAUGCGUAGAGAUUAGGAGGAACACCAGUGGCGAAGGCGGCUUACUGGACUGUAACUGACGUUGAGGCUCGAAAGCGUGGGGAGCAAACAGGAUUAGAUACCCCAGUAGUC
rnacentral:rRNA from 1 species